rnacentral:rRNA from 1 species
CCUACGGGAGGCUGCAGUGGGGAAUAUUGGACAAUGGGGGGAACCCUGAUCCAGCCAUGCCGCGUGUGUGAAGAAGGCCCUCGGGUUGUAAAGCACUUUCAGUGAGGAAGAACGCCUGGUGGUUAAUACCCAUCAGGAAAGACAUCACUCACAGAAGAAGCACCGGCUAACUCCGUGCCAGCAGCCGCGGUAAUACGGAGGGUGCGAGCGUUAAUCGGAAUUACUGGGCGUAAAGCGCGCGUAGGUGGCUUGAUAAGCCGGUUGUGAAAGCCCCGGGCUCAACCUGGGAACGGCAUCCGGAACUGUCAAGCUAGAGUGCAGGAGAGGAAGGUAGAAUUCCCGGUGUAGCGGUGAAAUGCGUAGAGAUCGGGAGGAAUACCAGUGGCGAAGGCGGCCUUCUAGACUGACACUGACACUGAGGUGCGAAAGCGUGGGUAGCAAACAGGAUUAGAUACCCUUGUAGUC